CCUACGGGAGGCAGCAGUGGGGAAUAUUGCACAAUGGGCGAAAGCCUGAUGCAGCGACGCCGCGUGAGGGAUGACGGCCUUCGGGUUGUAAACCUCUUUCAGCAGGGACGAAGCGCAAGUGACGGUACCUGCAGAAGAAGCACCGGCUAACUACGUGCCAGCAGCCGCGGUAAUACGUAGGGUGCAAGCGUUGUCCGGAAUUACUGGGCGUAAAGAGUUCGUAGGCGGUUUGUCGCGCCGUUUGUGAAAACCAGCAGCUCAACUGCUGGCUUGCAGGCGAUACGGGCAGACUUGAGUACUGCAGGGGAGACUGGAAUUUCUGGUGUAGCGGUGAAAUGCGCAGAUAUCAGGAGGAACACCGGUGGCGAAGGCGGGUCUCUGGGCAGUAACUGACGCUGAGGAACGAAAGCGUGGGUAGCGAACAGGAUUAGAUACCCUGGUAGUCCACGCCGUAAACGGUGGGCGCUAGGUGUGGGUUCCUUCCACGGAAUCCGUGCCGUAGCUAACGCAUUAAGCGCCCCGCCUGGGGAGUACGGCCGCAAGGCUAAAACUCAAAGGAAUUGACGG
rnacentral:rRNA from 1 species